rnacentral:sRNA from 1 species
AGAAACUGUGUAAUCGCAGAGGAAGGAUGUAACAGUUUGUAUGUAAAGAAUUCUUGAACCGAUUCUACAAGACAUUGAUAGACAGAGGAGUUAACUUUUCGCUGGACACGAUAGAGAAAGAAUUGAUCAGCUUUUGCUUGGACACCAAAGGAAAAGAAAACCGCCUGUGCUAUUAUCUAGGAGCCACAAAAGACGCAGCCACAAAGAUCCUAAGUGAAGUCACACGCCCAAUGAGUGUGCAUAUGCCUGCAAUGAAGAUUUGUGAGAAGCUGAAGAAGUUGGAUAGCCAGAUCUGUGAGCUGAAAUAUGAAAAAACACUGGACUUGGCAUCAGUUGACCUGCGGAAGAUGAGAGUGGCAGAGCUGAAGCAGAUCCUGCAUAGCUGGGGGGAGGAGUGCAGGGCCUGUGCAGAAAAAACUGAUUAUGUGAAUCUCAUCCAAGAGCUGGCCCCCAAGUAUGCAGAGACAGACCCCAAAACAGAGCUCUGAUCUCCAACGCCAGCACAUUUGUGACUUGUAAUUAGAGAGAAAAAUGACUCUCUAGGAUAUGGACAUGUUGAUUAAGGAUAACUGGGAAUGCA